rnacentral:rRNA from 1 species
ACUGCUCAGUAACACGUGGAUAACCUGCCCUUGGGACCGGCAUAACCCCGGGAAACUGGGGAUAAUUCCGGAUAACGCAUAUUUGCUGGAAUGCUUUAUGCGUCAAAAGGAUUCGUCUGCCCAAGGAUGGGUCUGCGGCCUAUCAGGUAGUAGUGGGUGUAAUGUACCUACUAGCCAGCGACGGGUACGGGUUGUGAGAGCAAGAGCCCGGAGAUGGAUUCUGAGACAUGAAUCCAGGCCCUACGGGGCGCAGCAGGCGCGAAAACUUUACAAUGCGGGAAACCGUGAUAAGGGGACACCGAGUGCCAGCAUCAUAUGCUGGCUGUCCGGAUGUGUAAAAUACAUCCGUUAGCAAGGGGCGGGCAAGACCGGUGCCAGCCGCCGCGGUAACACCGGCGGCCCGAGUGGUGAUCGUGAUUAUUGGGUCUAAAGGGUCCGUAGCCGGUUUGGUCAGUCCUCCGGGAAAUCUGAUAGCUCAACUAUUAGGCUUUCGGGGGAUACUGCCAGACUUGGAACCGGGAGAGGUAAGAGGUACUACAGGGGUAGGAGUGAAAUCUUGUAAUCCCUGUGGGACCACCUGUGGCGAAGGCGUCUUACCAGAACGGGUUCGACGGUGAGGGACGAAAGCUGGGGGCACGAACCGGAUUAGAUACCCGGGUAGUCCCAGCCGUAAACGAUGCUCGCUAGGUGUCAGGCAUGGCGCGACCGUGUCUGGUGCCGCAGGGAAGCCGUGAAGCGAGCCACCUGGGAAGUACGGCCGCAAGGCUGAAACUUAAAGGAAUUGGCGGGGGAGCAC